rnacentral:rRNA from 1 species
GUCUUUAAGAUUUUAUUUAAAGUCUAAUCUGCUCACUGAAUUUUUAAAGAGCCGCAGUAUUUUAACUGUGCAAAGGUAGCAUAAUCAAUAGUUUUUUAAUUGAAAACUGGAAUGAAAGAUUGAAUGAUAAAUUAACUUUUUUAAUUUUAAAAAUUUAAUUUAAAUUUUAAGUUAAAAUUCUUAAAUAAAUUUAAAAGACGAGAAGACCCCAUAGAUUUUUAUUAAUAAAAAUAAUUAUUAUAAAAUAUUAUUUGAUUAAUUUAAUUGGGGUGAUUUUGUAAUAUAAAAAACUUAAUUUUAAAAAACCAUAGAUAAUUGAAUUUUUUUGAUCUAAAAUUUUUAAAUAAAAAAUUAAAUUACCUUGGGGAUAACAGCGUAAUAUUAUUUAAGAGUUCAUAUCUAUAAUAAUGAUUGCGACCUCGAUGUUGAAUUAAGAAAUUUAUUGGAGUAGAAAUUAAUAAUAAUUAGUCUGUUCGACUAUUAAAUUCU